rnacentral:rRNA from 1 species
UACGGAGGGUGCGAGCGUUGUCCGGAAUCACUGGGCGUAAAGGGCGCGUAGGCGGCGCGGAUAGUCGGCGGUGAAAGCCCGGAGCUCAACUCCGGGUCGGCCGUCGAUACUUCCGGGCUUGAGCACUGUAGAGGCAGAUGGAAUUCCGGGUGUAGCGGUGGAAUGCGUAGAGAUCCGGAGGAACACCGAAGGCGAAGGCAGUGUCCUGGGGAGUACCUGACGCUCAGGUGCGAAAGCCAGGGGAGCGAACGGG